rnacentral:rRNA from 1 species
UGCUAAUACCGAAUGUUGUGGAACUUCCGCAUGGAGGCUCCACCAAAGAUGACCUCUUCCUGAAAGUUAUCGCUCAAAGAUGGGCCUGCGUCUGAUUAGCUAGUUGGUGGGGCAACGGCCUACCAAGGCGACGAUCAGUAGCCGGUCUGAGAGGAUGAACGGCCACAUUGGAACUGAGACACGGUCCAGACUCCUACGGGAGGCAGCAGUGGGGAAUCUUCCGCAAUGGGCGAAAGCCUGACGGAGCAACGCCGCGUGAGUUAAGAAGGCCUUCGGGUCGUAAAGCUCUGUUGUCGGGGACGAAUGUAGCGCUUAUCAACAACGAGUGCUAAUGACGGUACCUGACGAGGAAGCCACGGCUAACUACGUGCCAGCAGCCGCGGUAAUACGUAGGUGGCGAGCGUUGUCCGGAAUUAUUGGGCGUAAAGGGAGCGCAGGCGGGAGGCCAAGUCCAUCCUAAAAGUUCGGGGCUCAACCCCGUGAGGGAUGGAAACUGGUCUUCUUGAGUGCAGGA